GAUGAACGCUAGCGGCAGGCCUAAUACAUGCAAGUCGGACGGGAUUGGAGAGCUUGCUUUCCAUGAGAGUGGCGCACGGGUGCGUAACACGUAUGUAACCUACCUUUAUCAGGGGGAUAGCCUCUCGAAAGAGAGAUUAAGCCCGCAUAACAUCAAGUUGUGGCAUCACAGUUUGAUCAAAUAUUUAUAGGAUAAAGAUGGGCAUGCGGAACAUAGCUAGUUGGUAA
rnacentral:rRNA from 1 species